rnacentral:rRNA from 1 species
ACGAACGCUGGCGGCACGCUUAACACAUGCAAGUCGAACGAGAGAAGAGGAGCUUGCUUUUCUGAUCUAGUGGCGGACGGGUGAGUAACACGUGAGCAAUCUGCCUUUCAGAGGGGGAUACCGAUUGGAAACGAUCGUUAAUACCGCAUAACAUAAUUGAACCGCAUGAUUUGAUUAUCAAAGAUUUAUCGCUGAAAGAUGAGCUCGCGUCUGAUUAGCUAGUUGGUAAGGUAACGGCUUACCAAGGCGACGAUCAGUAGCCGGACUGAGAGGUUGAUCGGCCACAUUGGGACUGAGACACGGCCCAGACUCCUACGGGAGGCAGCAGUGGGGAAUAUUGCACAAUGGAGGAAACUCUGAUGCAGCGAUGCCGCGUGAGGGAAGAAGGUUUUAGGAUUGUAAACCUCUGUCUUCAGGGACGAAAAAUGACGGUACCUGAGGAGGAAGCUCCGGCUAACUACGUGCCAGCAGCCGCGGUAAUACGUAGGGAGCGAGCGUUGUCCGGAAUUACUGGGUGUAAAGGGAGCGUAGGCGGGAUCGCAAGUCAGAUGUGAAAACUAUGGGCUUAACCCAUAAACUGCAUUUGAAACUGUGGUUCUUGAGUGAAGUAGAGGUAAGCGGAAUUCCUAGUGUAGCGGUGAAAUGCGUAGAUAUUAGGAGGAACAUCAGUGGCGAAGGCGGCUUACUGGGCUUUAACUGACGCUGAGGCUCGAAAGCGUGGGGAGCAAACAGGAUUAGAUACCCUGGUAGUCCAUGCCGUAAACGAUGAUUACUAGGUGUGGGGGGACUGACCCCUUCCGUGCCGCAGCAAACGCAAUAAGUAAUCCACCUGGGGAGUACGACCGCAAGGUUGAAACUCAAAGGAAUUGACGGGGGCCCGCACAAGCAGUGGAGUAUGUGGAUUAAUUCGAAGCAACGCGAAGAACCUUACCAGGUCUUGACAUCGUAUGCAUAGCUCAGAGAUGAGUGAAAUCUCUUCGGAGACAUAUAGACAGGUGGUGCAUGGUUGUCGUCAGCUCGUGUCGUGAGAUGUUGGGUUAAGUCCCGCAACGAGCGCAACCCUUACUGUUAGUUGCUACGCAAGAGCACUCUAGCAGGACUGCCGUUGACAAAACGGAGGAAGGUGGGGAUGACGUCAAAUCAUCAUGCCCCUUAUGACCUGGGCCUCACACGUACUACAAUGGCUGUCAACAGAGGGAAGCAAAGCCGCGAGGUGGAGCAAACCCCUAAAAGCAGUCUUAGUUCGGAUUGUAGGCUGCAACCCGCCUACAUGAAGUCGGAAUUGCUAGUAAUCGCAGAUCAGCAUGCUGCGGUGAAUACGUUCCCGGGCCUUGUACACACCGCCCGUCACGCCAUGGGAGUCGGUAACACCCGAAGCCUGUAGUCUAACCGCAAGGAGGACGCAGUCGAAGGUGGGAUUGAUGACUGGGGUG